UCGCUGUAAUGGCAUUUGGCGGAAGUGUUAGCGCUUUCUGUUCUUCAGCCUGGCGCUGCUCGGCUGAGCAUGUCCGGUUCGAUCCCUGUGGAAGGCAUGUUGGACAGUCUGAGUAAUCGGCUGUGCACGUGCUGACUGCAAGCCCGUGACGGGACCACUGGAGGGAAGCAAUUCAGCACAGUGAGUCACACAUAGGGAGGCCCACCGGGACGCAUCUCGCCGGCUCAAAGUGCCAUGUUGCGGAACCUGCUUCCACGACUUCUUUU
rnacentral:SRP_RNA from 1 species